CUUCGGAAAUUUUGGUGGGGAAGCCGAAGGGGAGAAAGGAAGCCCGCAUGGGUUUCCUAGAAAACUAUGUCCAAGCCAAAAUUCAUGGGCGACAUGGGAUUCCGAGACAUUGAAAUUUUUAACCUAGCGCUCUUGGCACGACAAGCUUGGAGGCUUACACAGGACCCCAGCUCGCUGAGUGCUCGAGUUCUUAACGCACAUUACAAUCCAUAUGGCAAUCUGUUAGAAGCACCGAUGGGCUCAAACCCCUUGCAGGUAUGGAGAUCCAUAAGGGAAGGAAGGGAGGUCCUAUCUUUGGGACUAAUUAAGUAGAUUGGAACUAGAACAGAAACACACAUUUGGCAUGGCAAUUGGUUCCCUAGAUACUACAAACUUUGGUUAAUAUGUGCUCCUUCGUAUCCCCCCAACUUAGUUUCAAAGAUUAUAGAUGAAGCGACCAGAACAUGGAACCGACAAAUUCUCUUGGAACAUUUUAUUUCUCCUGACAUUAAUGUUAUCAUGAACAAUCUACUUAAUUCAAGAGUACGAGGAGUUAUUUUGGCAUGUCACUAUGAUAAAAGAGGUGUUUUUCAGUCUGUCCCGCGUAUAGGAUGA
rnacentral:rRNA from 1 species